rnacentral:tRNA from 1 species
CAAAGUAUAGCUUAACCAUAAAGCACCCGGCCUACACCCGGAAGAUCUCAAAUAAAAUGAUUACUUUGA